UACGAAGGGGGCUAGCGUUGCUCGGAAUUACUGGGCGUAAAGGGUUCGUAGGUGGCUUGCUAAGUCAGACGUGAAAUCCCUCAGCUUAACUGGGGAACUGCGUCUGAUACUGGCGAGCUUGAGUGCAGGAGAGGAACGCAGAAUUCCAGGUGUAGCGGUGAAAUGCGUAGAUAUCAGGAGGAACACCGGUGGCGAAGGCGGCCCUCUGGACGGAUACUGACGCUAAAACGCGAAAGCGUGGGGAGCAAACAGG
rnacentral:rRNA from 1 species